AGAAACAUAAAUAAAAAUAUGACAAAUUUGAGUAGUAAUCAACAACAAGGGACUAAUAUUUAUCAUUUACUUCAGCUUGGUUUACAGGUCUUCACACAGAAAGCUUAAUCAAACUUCAUUUCUAGUCAUAGUUCAAAAGAGUACCUGGAAAUUAAAAGAAAACCAAAAGAAAUCCAAGAAUUAGCAAACAACAGCAGCAACAGAAUCAAAAUAGAACCCAACAAUAGAACAAUACCCAAAACAGCAGCUCAAACCAAACUUUUAAACUCCAAAACUCAAACCAUGUUUUAUGCAGGUGCAAGACAUUAAAGUUUCAGAAAUUCUAGCUAACAAAGGGGAGAAACAAAACCAAACGGAAUUUAAGCGGUUUUCACCAAAGAAACACAAGGAUUUCAAUGUUAUUUCAAGACCCAGCCGUUUUCAAAUUUUCAGGAUUUUUUAGUUUCUAAAUUCUCUGAAAUCUCACUUGAGGGUGAAGAAACAAUGAUUUUAUAAAGAGGUUUUAGGGCAACAGAAAUUGAGUUCAGUCUUUU
rnacentral:lncRNA from 1 species